rnacentral:rRNA from 1 species
AUGCCACCUUCCGUGCACGACACGGAAGGCCUGCCGUUCAUGAAGCAUGGUUGUGUCUUCCGUGCGCACCGCCGGAUGAACGACAUGCUGGGACACGCUAUCCCUGAUUUAUGCCGCUUCAGCUUGGAUGAGUCUCCAUCGUGUGGAACCGGACUAGAAAGCUGUGACAAUGAUUCCCGUUUCCCACCGCCAUGGAUCGUGCCAUCCAUGAAGAACACCUGGGACUGGAACCUGGAGGAGGACAUCAGACGCAAAUGCGCUGGCCUUCAUGAUUCCAGGACCUGGAAUCAUACCAGCCAAUGGUACCAUAUAACUGGAAUUAACCCAUGCAAGUCGAAGAAGGAUUGGCCGGUGCUGCCGGCUGGCGUCAAGUUUGACCGCACAGAUCAGGAGCUGAUCGAGCACCUUGAGGCCAAAGUGAGUGCUGACAGCUCGAGAUCUCACCCUCUCAUCGAUUUGUUCAUACCAACCAUCAACAGCGAGCACGGCAUAUGCUACACCCAUCCUCGGAAAUUUCCAGGUAUCACACUGAGUGGCCUAAGCAAGCAUUUCUUCCAGCACAAUUCCAAGGCGUUCAAAAGGGGCACGUGGAUGCGUCGCAAGAUACAGUCGGAGUGCGGCAUGCACGCGAUGUGGCACAACACCGGCAAUACCUUGCCGGUGAUGGUCAACGAUCGGCAGACGGGCAGCAAAAAGGUUCUGGUGCUGCACACCAACAAGAACUUCGACCAGCAGAGGACCAACUGGGUGAUGCACCAGUACCACCUCGGGGACCUGGAGCAAGAGAAAGGGCGGGAGCUGGUCCUCUGCAAGAUUUUCUACUAG